rnacentral:sRNA from 1 species
UCAAUUUGGUCCAACGUUUACCUUGCGGU